rnacentral:rRNA from 1 species
AUUGAACGCUGGCGGCAGGCCUAACACAUGCAAGUCGAACGAGUGGCGGACGGGUGAGUAAUGUCUGGGAAACUGCCCCAUGGAGGGGGAUAACUACUGGAAACGGUAGCUAAUACCGCAUACCAUCGGAUGUGCCCAGCUCGGAUGAGCUAGUAGGUGGGGUAACGGCUCACCUAGGCGACGAUCCCUAGCGGGUCUGAGAGGAUGACCAGCAAAACUGGAACGAGGACACGGCCCAGACUCCAACGGGAGGCAGCAGUGGGGAAUAUUGCAAAAUGGGGGAAAGCUGGAUGCAGAAAGGCCGCGUGUAGGAGGAAGGCCUUCGGGUUGUAAAGUACUUUCAGCGGGGAGGCGUUACUGGAAGAAGAAGCACCGGCUAACUCCGUGCCAGCAGCCGCGGUAAUAC